CCAUCGGGUUUCACCGAGACGUCAUCACUAGCGCUCGGAGCACGGCUGUGUCGAUGUCAAAAUGUGCUGAUUUUUCGCCAAUUUCACUGCGUUGUGACGCUGCUGGACACCCAAAAUGAAGUUUGCCGAACACCUGGCGGCCCACAUCACGCCGGAAUGGCGAAAGCAGUACAUUAUGUACGAGGAGAUGAAGGCUCAACUUUACGCAGCAGUUGAACAGUCUCCGUCGGCUGAAUUAGUUGAUCCCGAGGUGCUGACGCGGUACUUUGCCAAAUUCGAUGAGCAAUUCUUCCACUUUUGUGACAGCGAGCUCGCCAAAAUUAAUACGUUUUAUUCAGAAAAAUUAGCUGAAGCGACUAGAAAGUUCGCCAAUCUCCGAUCGGAACUGAGUGAAAUCCUAGAGCAUGAGGAGAACACCAAGAAGAAAAAGGACAAUCUUCAUCGGGUGAAGAAAAAUCUCCUCCGCAAGAAAAAUGUUUCUGUGCGAAAAAUCCAAGACUUGAAGCUCGCUUUCAGCGAGUUUUAUCUGAGCUUGAUCCUGUUGCAGAACUAUCAGAACCUCAAUUUCACCGGGUUCCGAAAGAUACUGAAGAAGCAUGAUAAGCUGUUGAACGUGGACUUUGGAGCAAGAUGGCGGGCGGAACACGUGGAAUCGGCACAUUUCUACGUCAACAAAGAUAUUGACCGGUUAAUCAACGAAACAGAGAAUAUCGUUACCAAUGAGAUCGAGAGUGGUGACCGGCAGCGGGCCAUGAAGCGGCUUCGGGUACCUCCGCUGGGAGAGCAACAGAGUCCAUGGACGACGUUCAAAGUUGGUUUGUUUUCCGGGUCGUUGAUUGUACUCUGCGUAGCGGUUGCCAUCUCGGCGCUGUUCAACGUGACAAGGAAUGAUUGGAUAGUAGCAUUUCGUCUGUACCGGGGACCACUUCUGAUUGUGGAGUUCCUGUUUCUCUGGGGCAUCAAUGUGUACGGUUGGAGAUCUUCCGGUGUGAAUCAUGUGUUGAUAUUUGAGUUGGAUCCCCGUAACCAUCUUUCCGAACAACAUAUCAUGGAGUUGGCAUCGAUAUUCGGUGUUAUCUGGACACUGAGUGUCCUCGGCUAUCUGUAUGCGGAUGCAUUGAGUAUUCCGGCGUAUGUAAGCCCAUUGGCACUGUAUUUACUGAUGGCAGCAUUUCUUUUCAAUCCAACAAAAACAUUCCGUCAUGAGGCACGCUUCUGGACAAUCAGAAUACUCAGCCGAAUCGUGCUAGCACCAUUUUUCUUCGUCAAUUUCGCUGAUUUCUGGCUGGCAGAUCAGUUGAAUAGUAUCGUUCCGGCAUUUCUGGACGUGCAGUAUGCCAUCUGUUUCUACUCGACGAUUACAAAUUGGAAUCACGUGGAGAAUCUUAAUGAAUGCAUUGACAGUUCGUUAUGGCUUCGACCAUUGGUGGCGAUGCUUCCGGCUUGGUUCCGAAUGGCGCAGUGUUUAAGGCGAUUCCGGGAUACUCGGGAUGCCCAUCCUCAUUUGGCGAAUGCGGUCAAAUACUCCACGUCGUUUUUUGUGGUCAUUUUUUCGUCGUUGACUCAAGUCACCAGAGGCAACUAUGCGAAGAGUACCGAUAACCCGUGGUUCUACCUAUGGAUCAUCGCUUCGAUUGUAUCAUCAUGCUACGCAUACACGUGGGAUAUCAAGAUGGAUUGGGGUUUAUUCGAUUCGAAAGCUAACGACAACAAGUUCCUGAGGGAUGAAAUCGUUUACAGUUCGAAUUGGUUUUACUAUUUCGCAAUCGUUGAGGAUCUAAUCCUACGCUUCGGCUGGACUCUGUCCAUGAGUCUGAUAGAGCUGGGCUACAUCGAUCGGGAAAUUAUUGUGUCAAUAUUGAGUCCCCUCGAGGUGUUCCGGCGCUUUAUCUGGAACUACUUCCGGUUGGAGAACGAGCAUUUAAACAAUUGUGGUAAUUUCCGCGCAGUGAGAGACAUCUCUGUAACACCGAUGGAUUGUUCAGAUCAGACAACUAUCCUGCGCAUGAUGGAUGAGGAGGAUGGAGUUCGCAACCGGCGGACUGUGAAGAAAAUUACCGGAAAGAAAAAAUCCGAACAGAGGCUGUUGCUGCGGGAGGCAGAAUCGACGGAAGAUUUGGAAAUGUAAAGCAACAAACAAAAUUGACGCAACCGGUUUGCAUGUGCUGUAUACACAUCCACAUAUACAUAUCGUAUUAGAGCUGAUUAGUGUGCCAUCUCACAAAUCAUUCUCUCUCGCUCACCCACGGCGUUGUGUCACAUUCGUGUCACGCAGGACGUGGCUUGUGAUGUGACUUGAUUAUUUGCAUUUCAACUCAUCUGUUUCGCCUUCGGGCCGAUUUCCGCUUCUCCAUACCCUAAUUGUUGUCGUUAGGUCGAUGAUACGAUUACCGGAAUCAGAAAUGCACACGACCCAGAAUAGGAAAAUCGUUUGGGAAAUAUAGGUCGCGGCCGGAGCUGGCGAAAUUGGUGACAACCGGCGAUAGAAUCCAUCAUAAUUUUUUUACCACUAUUUUCCGCUCUCACACAACCUAUGUUUCCAAAGGAAAAAAAAGUUGGUGUACAUGGGUAGUCGUAUUUGCUGUAACCGUUUAAUCUCGAAAUGCAAUCAAUGAAUCGUUGUAUAUUUACUUCGUAGGGUAGUGAAGUUUGAAAUCGCGAUGGUAGCGAAUGAUAAAUAUUGUUUAUGUCAUAAACACAUUCAGAGAACGUUUAUCGAAAAUAAAUAAAGAUGACCGAUGUAUUUAAAUACA